rnacentral:rRNA from 1 species
AGUGAACGCUGGCGGUAGGCCUAACACAUGCAAGUCGAACGGCAGCACAGUAAGAGCUUGCUCUUACGGGUGGCGAGUGGCGGACGGGUGAGGAAUACAUCGGAAUCUACUUUUUCGUGGGGGAUAACGUAGGGAAACUUACGCUAAUACCGCAUACGACCUACGGGUGAAAGCAGGGGAUCUUCGGACCUUGCGCGAUUGGAUGAGCCGAUGUCGGAUUAGCUAGUUGGCGGGGUAAAGGCCCACCAAGGCGACGAUCCGUAGCUGGUCUGAGAGGAUGAUCAGCCACACUGGAACUGAGACACGGUCCAGACUCCUACGGGAGGCAGCAGUGGGGAAUAUUGGACAAUGGGCGCAAGCCUGAUCCAGCCAUACCGCGUGGGCGAAGAAGGCCUUCGGGUUGUAAAGCCCUUUUGUUGGGAAAGAAAAGCAGCAGGUUAAUACCCCGCUGUUCUGACGGUACCCAAAGAAUAAGCACCGGCUAACUUCGUG